UUACAUUCAACCAAACACAGCCUAAUUCCCGAAUCAACUUACUCUUCUCUAGUUCUUCUCUCUCUCUCAGCUCUCUCUCUCACACCCACACUCCAUCCCAUCUGCAACUACAAGCUUCCAUUUCCUCACCGCAUCGCUUUCCCUAACCUCCAGUUCCGACCACCACAAACCCCGACAGCCACUGCCCAGUGUCUUCGCUAGCACAACACUGCUGAACAUCGUCAGUUUCGGCAAGAUCGGCCUUUGUCUCGUCAGAAAACCCCCAAACUCUUCUCUUUCUAGCAUCACCACCAAACACCGAAAGCUUUCUUGCUGCUUUCAACACCCGAUGUCACAAUAAGAUAAAUGCUUUGCAGAUACGUUAGUUAAAAUCUUGGUCUUGAACAACUUCAUUUUGUGUGUGAAGGUUGUUGAGUGCAGUAUAUGUGGUUUCCCUAAUCUCGUACUUCGUUUUGCCUUCGUUGAGUUUUGAAGGUGCAAAGGCUACUUUUAGUCUACGGGAUGAUGCUUGGAUUCUACCUUGUGAAGGUUCUGCCUUCUAACAUGGACCCUACUACAAGAUUCUGAAGUAUGAUGGAUAGCAUUUUUGGACAAUAUUUUUUACUGCAAUUGGCACAGCUGGGGGACAACAUUUUGGACUAAUAUUUUUGGAUAACAUAUUUGACUUGGACAACUUUUUAGAUAGCAUAGCUGAAAAUUUAGACAGUUGAUUACUCAACUUGUAGCAAUUGUUUUGGAAAAUUGUUGUAACUACUGAAGUUACUUGAACAUGAUGGAUUCUUUGUAUUAGUAGCUUCUACUUAAAUACUACUUAUUUAUGCAAAUGAUGAAUGUUUUAAAUGCAAA